GAUGAACGCUGGCGGCGUGCCUAAUACAUGCAAGUCGAGCGAACGGACGAGAAGCUUGCUUCUCUGAUGUUAGCGGCGGACGUGUGAGUAACACAUGGAUAACCUACCUAUAAGACUGGGAUAACUUCGGGAAACCGUAGCUAAUGCCGGAUAAUAUUUUGAACCGCAUGGUUCAAAAGUGAAAGACGGUCUUUCUGUCACUUAUAGAUGGAUCCGCGCUGCAUUAGCUAGUUGGUAAGGUAACGGCUUACCAAGGCAACGAUGCAUAGCCGACCUGAGAGGGGGAUAGGCCACACUGGAACUGAGACACGGUCAAGAAUCCUACGGGAGGCAGCAGUAGGGAAUCUUCCGCAAUGGGCGAAAGCAUGACGGAGCAACGCCGCGUGAGUGAUGAAGGUCUUCGGAUCGUAAAACUCUGUUAUUAGGGAAGAACAUAUGUGUAAGUAACUGUGCACAUCUUGACGGUACCUAAUCAGAAAGCCACGGCUAACUACGUG
rnacentral:rRNA from 1 species